rnacentral:rRNA from 1 species
GACGAACGCUGGCGGCGUGCUUAACACAUGCAAGUCGGGCGGUAAGGCCCUGCCGGGGGUACACGGUCGGGUAACGGGCGGGUAACACGUAAGCAAUUUGCCCCUGUCUCAGGGUUAGCCACCUGAAACGGAGGGUAAUAACGGCUAGGACCUCCUUCCGCAUGGUUGGUGGGGGAAAAAUCGGCUGGACAGGGGUGAGCGGACGGCCUAUCAGCUUGUUUGUGGGGGGAGGGCCUACCAAGGCGACGACGGGUAGGCGGCCUGGAGGGGUGACCGGCCAACAUGGGACUGAGACACCGGCCAGACUCCUACGGGAGGCAGCAGUGGGGAAUAUUGGACCAUGGGCGAAAGCCUGAUCCAGCAACGCCGCGUGGGGGAUGACGGCCUUCGGGUUGUAAACCUCUUUCAGCAGGGAACGAGCGAAAGUGAAGGUACAUGCAGAAGAAGGCCCGGCCAACUACGUG